UGGGGAAUCUUGCGCAAUGGGCGAAAGCCUGACGCAGCGACGCCGCGUGGGUGAUGAAGGCCUUCGGGUUGUAAAGCCCUGUGGGGAGGGAAGAAUGAGUCUUGGCCAAUACCCAAGGCGAUGACGGUACCUCCUUAGCAAGCACCGGCUAACUCUGUGCCAGCAGCCGCGGUAAGACAGAGGGUGCGAACGUUGUUCGGAAUUACUGGGCGUAAAGCGCAUGUAGGCGGCCGUGCAGGUCGGGUGUGAAAGCCCUGGGCUCAACCCAGGAAGUGCACUCGAAACCGCGCGGCUCGAGUCCCGGAGAGGAAGGUGGAAUUCUCGGUGUAGAGGUGAAAUUCGUAGAUAUCGGGAGGAACACCGGCGGCGAAAGCGGCCUUCUGGACGAGGACUGACGCUG
rnacentral:rRNA from 1 species